rnacentral:rRNA from 1 species
GACGAACGCUGGCGGCGUGCCUAAUACAUGCAAGUCGAACGCUUCUUUCCUCCCGAGUGCUUGCACUCAAUUGGAAAGAGGAGUGGCGGACGGGUGAGUAACACGUGGGUAACCUACCCAUCAGAGGGGGAUAACACUUGGAAACAGGUGCUAAUACUGCAUAACAGUUUAUGCCGCAUGGCAUAAGAGUGAAAGGCGCUUUCGGGUGUCGUUGAUGGAUGGACCCGCGGUGCAUUAGCUAGUUGGUGAGGUAACGGCUCACCAAGGCCACGAUGCAUAGCCGACCUGAGAGGGUGAUCGGCCACACUGGGACUGAGACACGGCCCAGACUCCUACGGGAGGCAGCAGUAGGGAAUCUUCGGCAAUGGACGAAAGUCUGACCGAGCAACGCCGCGUGAGUGAAGAAGGUUUUCGGAUCGUAAAACUCUGUUGUUAGAGAAGAACAAGGACGUUAGUAACUGAACGUCCCCUGACGGUAUCUAACCAGAAAGCCACGGCUAACUACGUG